GCUACACAUGCAGUCGAGCGGAUGAAGGGAGCUUGCUCCUGGUAUCAGCGGCGGACGGGUGAGUAAUGCUUAGGAAUCUGCCUGGUAGUGGGGGAUAACGUUUGGAAAGGGGUGCUAAUACCGCAUACGUCCUAGGGGAGAAAGUGGGGGAUCUUCGGACCUUGCGCUAUCAGAUGAGCCUAGGUCGGAUUAGCUAGUUGGUGGGGUAAAGGCCUACCAAGGCGACGAUCUGUAACGGGUCUGAGAGGAUGAUCCGCCACACUGGAACUGAGACACGGUCCAGACUCCUACGGGAGGCAGCAGUGGGGAAUAUUGGACAAUGGGCGCAAGCCUGAUCCAGCCAUGCCGCGUGUGUGAAGAAGGUCUUCUGAUUGUAAAGCACUUUAAGUUGGGAGGAAGGUACUUUAGUUAAUACCUUGCUGUUUUGAACUUUCCUCCCAAAUUAGCCCCGGGUUACUUCUGGGCCACCGCCCCCGGUAUUCCAAAGGGGGCAGCCUUUAUUCGAAUUUCUGGGCGUUAAGGGGGGGGAAGUGGUUUAACUAGUUGGAUGGUAAAUCCCCCGACUCUACCUGGGAACUGGCUUUCAAUAUUGUGAACUUGAAUAGUGUAAAAGGAGGUGGAAUUUCCUGGGGU
rnacentral:rRNA from 1 species